AAUAUUUUAGGUAUAUAUAUUCUUUUUCUCACAACUGGGUGCAAAUUAUGGAAAUCAUAUCUUAGUUGAACUUUGGGUGACCCCACAUGUCCAUCUUUGUUGAUAGGUACUACAGUAGCCAGCUGUAGGGGACUGCGUCAUCAUGCAUGCCACCUGAUGCGCUUAACCAUCUGCGCACACAGAGGUUACAUGGUCGAGUGGAGGUCCAGGUUCCUUGGUUUAAUCCUUUGUGUGAGCCCGGACGCCUCUGCUUUUUAAUCAGCAACUUAUUAUCAUAUAUUUUUCCCACUUGAGAAUACGCAUAAAUACAUAAAACGAUCUUGCUGUCAGUGUACACCACAAUCCCUCACCCCUGAAGAAGAGGUCCUAUUAAGACGCCUCAAAAUGUUAAAACGUUGGGUUAUCUAUCUUCACCCUAUAGACAGAACUGGGCUGUGCAUCAUCUUUUUUGUCUGUUUAUGUGUUGUCAGUGUUCUCAACAUAACAAUUGUUUGCCUCCCACUUUGUGCUGUCCCUUCCUGUUAUGCCCUUUGAUCUCUUGGAUGUGUUCCAAUGUGUAGUGUAGCCUUUACUACCAAUA